GAGAAAACACCAGUCUGGAUUACAUCGUCAAGCUAAGAGCAACCAUGCAUGUCAUCAGGCAGGAGACGCGUCCAACCAUGAUGUAUACUGUGUGUAGCCACUCCCUGUCAAGCAUCGGAUUGGAUAAGAAAUAUGGCUACCCUACACCAACCAAUCCAAAUGGGCGAAUCAGAAUGUCUGGAGGGUGUGUGAUGACAGAUGUCACGAUGACACGACUGACAGGAAGUCCAUCAUCCCAGGCAGGAAGCAGAACAACAGAACCGGAGUGUUAGGUUCCAUCCAAUUCCACACCCCAGGAGGACCUGCCCCCUGCUAAGGAGUCCCCAAAACACCCUCUCAUGGUCAGGAUGUUCCAUUCCCUCAACUAUUCAGAGGAGCUUCUGAAAUACAGUAUGCCUGGACUACCCGGGGCACCCAGAAGAGGACUAGCCACCCACCCCUGGUUCCUCUCCAGGUUUCUUCAUUCUAGAGUUCUUGCUGGCCACUGUGCUUUUGGUUAGCUUGCUCUUUGGGGUGUAGGCCGGUUGAUUUAAUGUCUAAACAUGUUAAAUGGUUUGAAAAUGUGAUGCUGCCUGCUCAAAUCCAAUUUGUAGGUACUACACACCACACAAUAGGUUAACAAAUGUGACAAUUUUCUCACUGCCCAUAUAUAUAUGAAGAGGUUUACAUGGCUGAUGCCAAACAUGGGAUCGAUAUCCUAAAAAUGCAUGACCCCUGCUGAACAGAACACAUUGUACAAACAUUUGCAUUUAUAUAAUUUUGAAUGAAACGUACUAACAAUGUAGGAAAAGAAAGUAAAACAUCACUGAUAAUCAACAGAUCCUCAGUGUCAUGGUUGUGAACUGCUUGUUAACACGCAGCCAUGGUGCUUAUUCAUUAGUCUUACAGUUAGAAACAAUUGACAUUCAUGGCCAGAAAACGUGUGGAACAGCAAGUAAAUAGUAUCGCAUAAGUCAUUUAAAUGCUGAUUUGCUCACAGAGACAUUGAUUGCUGAGAGUUCACCUUGUACAAAAAUACAGGUCCCAUGAUCCUCAUAUGUUAUUAUUGGUUUAUAUUGCAUCAUAGGUGUUUGUCUGAGAUGUUGAAGCCUGGAGUAGCAAAC